GCGGCAGGCUUAACACAUGCAAGUCGAACGGUAACAUAAAGAAGCUUGCUUCUUUGAUGACGAGUGGCGGACGGGUGAGUAAUGCUUGGGAAUCUAGCUUAUGGAGGGGGAUAACUACGGGAAACUGUAGCUAAUACCGCGUAAUAUCGAAAGAUUAAAGUGUGGGACCUUCGGGCCACAUGCCAUAGGAUGAGCCCAAGUGGGAUUAGGUAGUUGGUGAGGUAARGGCUCACCAAGCCGACGAUCUCUAGCUGGUCUGAGAGGAUGACCAGCCACACUGGGACUGAGACACGGCCCAGACUCCUACGGGAGGCAGCAGUGGGGAAUAUUGCGCAAUGGGGGCAACCCUGACGCAGCCAUGCCGCGUGAAUGAAGAAGGCCUUCGGGUUGUAAAGUUCUUUCGGUAGCGAGGAAGGCAUUUAGUUUAAUAGACUAGGUGAUUGACGUUAACUACAGAAGAAGCACCG
rnacentral:rRNA from 1 species